rnacentral:rRNA from 1 species
GACGAACGCUGGCGGCGCGCUUAACACAUGCAAGUCGAACGGAAAGGCCUGCCUUCCCUUGUGGAUUGCGGGUACUCGAGUGGCGAACGGGUGAGUAACACGUGAGUGAUCUGCCCCCAACUUGGGUAUAAGCCUGGGAAACUGGGUCUAAUUCCCGAUAGGACUGCAGGGUGGUGCCUGUGGUGGAAAACGAUUUUCUAGUGGUUGGGGAUGAGCUCGCGGCCUAUCAGCUUGUUGGUGGGGUAAUGGCCUACCAAGGCGGCGACGGGUAGCCGGCCUGGGAGGGUGGACGGCCACAUUGGGACUGAGAUACGGCCCAGACUCCUACGGGAGGCAGCAGUGGGGAAUAUUGCACAAUGGGCGGAAGCCUGAUGCAGCGACGCCGCGUGGGGGAUGACGGCCUUCGGGUUGUAAACUCCUUUCGACCGCGAGGAAGCCACCUGGUUGGAAGGGUGGUGACGGUAGUGGUAGAAGAAGCACCGGCUAACUACGUG